rnacentral:tRNA from 1 species
GGUUGUAGCUCAGUGAUAGAGCACUUGCCUUGCAGGCAUGAGGCCCUGGGUUCGUUCCCCAGCACCA